AAUGAACGUUGGCGGCGUGGAUUAGGCAUGCAAGUCGUACGCAUAGCUUCGGCUAUGAGUGGCGCAAGGGUGAGUAAUGCGAAGGUAACCAACCCUGGUGUUGGGCAUAGCCGCGGGAAACUGCGGGUAAUUCCCAGCGACGUCACGAGAUGGCAUCAUCUUGUGACCAAAGGUGUGAUUCCGCUCUAGGACGGGCCUUCGUGGUAUUAGGUAGUUGGUGAGGUAACGGCUCACCAAGGCCACGAUGCCUACCGGGUGUGAGAGCAUGACCCGGCACACUGGAACUGAGACACUGUCCAGACACCUACGGGUGGCUGCAGUCGGGAAUCUUCGGCAAUGGGCGAAAGCCUGACCGAGCGACGCCGCGUGAGGGAUUGAAGGCCUUCGGUUGUAAACCUCUUUCGUAGAGGAGGAAGGGGCCGUGAAGAACGGUCUUUGACCUAUUCUAGGAAGAAGCUUGGGCUAAGUUCGUGCAGCAGCCGCGGUAAU
rnacentral:rRNA from 1 species